rnacentral:rRNA from 1 species
CGUGUCGUGAGAUGUUGGGUUAAGUCCCGCAACGAGCGCAACCCUCACCCCUAGUUUGCCACCGGGUAAAGCCGAGCACUCGAGGGGAACUGCCAGCGUCAAGCUGGAGGAAGGCGGGGAUGACGUCAAGUCAUCAUGCCCCUUACGUCCUGGGCUACACACGUGCUACAAUGGCCAGUACAAAGGGAUGCGAGACCGCGAGGUGGAGCUAAUCCCAAAAAGCUGGUCUAAGUUCAGAUUGCAGUCUGCAACUCGACUCCAUGAAGGAGGAAUCGCUAGUAAUCGC